rnacentral:rRNA from 1 species
CGCGUAGGCGGCGCGACAAGUCACUUGUGAAAUCUCCGGGCUUAACUCGGAACGGUCAAGUGAAACUGUCAUGCUAGAGUGCAGAAGGGGCAAUCGGAAUUCUUGGUGUAGCGGUGAAAUGCGUAGAUAUCAAGAGGAACACCUGAGGUGAAGACGGGUUGCUGGGCUGACACUGACGCUGAGGCGGCGAAAGCCAGGGAGCAAACG